rnacentral:rRNA from 1 species
AUUGAACGCUGGCGGCAGGCUUAACACAUGCAAGUCGAGCGGGGUGAUGGUGCUUGCACUAUCACUUAGCGGCGGACGGGUGAGUAAUGCUUAGGAAUCUGCCUAUUAGUGGGGGACAACAUCUCGAGGGGGAUGCUAAUACCGCAUACGUCCUACGGGAGAAAGCAGGGGAUCACUUGUGACCUUGCGCUAAUAGAUGAGCCUAAGUCGGAUUAGCUAGUUGGUGGGGUAAAAGCCUACCAAGGCGACGAUCUGUAGCGGGUCUGAGAGGAUGAUCCGCCACACUGGGACUGCGACACGGCCCAGAAUCCUACGGGAGGCAGCAGUGGGGAAUAUUGGACAAUGGGGGGAACCCUGAUCCAGCCAUGCCGCGUGUGUGAAGAAGGCCUUAUGGUUGUAAAGCACUUUAAGCGAGGAGGAGGCUCUUUUGGUUAAUACCCAAGAUGAGUGGACGUUACUCGCAGAAUAAGCACCGGCUAACUCCGUGCCAGCCGCCGCAGUAA